CCUACGGGAGGCAGCAGUCGGGAAUCUUGCACAAUGGGCGAAAGCCUGAUGCAGCAACACCGUGUGAGCGAUGAAGGCCCUAGGGUCGUAAAGCUCUGUUGUUAGGGACGAAGGGCGAAGGGUUAAUAGCCCUUAGACUGACGGUACCUUUCGAGGAAGCCCCGGCUAACUACGUGCCAGCAGCCGCGGUAAUACGUAGGGGGCGAGCGUUGUCCGGAAUUAUUGGGCGUAAAGAGCGUGUAGGCGGCUUGGUAAGUCUGCUGUGAAACCUUGGGGCUCAACCCCAAGCGUGCAGUGGAUACUGUCAAGCUAGAGGAUGGUAGAGGCCAGUGGAAUUCCCGGUGUAGCGGUGAAAUGCGCAGAUAUCGGGAGGAACACCAGUAGCGAAGGCGGCUGGCUGGGCCAUUCCUGACGCUGAGACGCGAAAGCUAGGGGAGCGAACAGGAUUAGAUACCCUGGUAGUCCUAGCCGUAAACGAUGAACACUAGGUGUGGGGGGAGUCGAAUCCCUCCGUGCCGAAGCCAACGCGUUAAGUGUUCCGCCUGGGGAGUACGGCCGCAAGGCUAAAACUCAAAUGAAUUGACGGGG
rnacentral:rRNA from 1 species